CCUACGGGGGGCUGCAGUGGGGAAUAUUGGACAAUGGGGGGAACCCUGAUCCAGCCGUGCCGCGUGUGUGAAGAAGGCCCUCGGGUUGUAAAGCACUUUCAGUGAGGAAGAACGCCUGGUGGUUAAUACCCAUCAGGAAAGACAUCACUCACAGAAGAAGCACCGGCUAACUCCGUGCCAGCAGCCGCGGUAAUACGGAGGGUGCGAGCGUUAAUCGGAAUUACUGGGCGUAAAGCGCGCGUAGGUGGCUUGAUAAGCCGGUUGUGAAAGCCCCGGGCUCAACCUGGGAACGGCAUCCGGAACUGUCAAGCUAGAGUGCAGGAGAGGAAGGUAGAAUUCCCGGUGUAGCGGUGAAAUGCGUAGAGAUCGGGAGGAAUACCAGUGGCGAAGGCGGCCUUCUGGACUGACACUGACACUGAGGUGCGAAAGCGUGGGUAGCAAACAGGAUUAGAUACCCGUGUAGUC
rnacentral:rRNA from 1 species